ACCUGGUAAUGUGGGCAUUUAUGGAGCAAGUCCUUAAAGUGCUCCCAAGUCUCAAAAAAGAGUUUCCCAUCCAUCUUAGAGAAACUUGUGAUGACUCUUCAAAGCU